rnacentral:rRNA from 1 species
UACAGAGGGUGCGAGCGUUGUCCGGAAUCACUGGGCGUAAAGGGCGCGUAGGCGGCCUGAUAAGUAGGGGGUGAAAUCUUGCGGCUCAACCGCAAGGCUGCCUUCUAAACUGUCAGGCUCGAGCACAGUAGAGGCAGGUGGAAUUCCCGGUGUAGCGGUGGAAUGCGUAGAGAUCGGGAAGAACAUCAGUGGCGAAGGCGGCCUGCUGGGCUGUUGCUGACGCUGAGGCGCGACAGCGUGGGGAGCAAACAGG